UCUGACUAUGAAAGAUUAAGAUGCUGAAAAAGUUAACCAUGAAAAAUUAAAACUAAAGUUAUACCAAUACAAAAUUAGUUUUAUUCGAUAAAAAUGACCAAUAAUUUAAUUUUUAUUUAGGAUUCCGUAAAUACCCAUCUCUUUUCUUCUUCCUUCCUUUUCUCCCUUCCAUAGCCACCACGGCACCACCAGCAGAGUUACAAAAUCUACCAUUCCGUUUCAAUUUUUCUUCUCAAUUUUCACACCACAUACUUUCUUCAUUCUUCACUCAUUACAUGUCUCUUUGUUCUACACUCACCCCUUCAUUUCUCAUUCCACUUAUAUCCUCUCUCUUUAUCUCUAUCUCUCAUUUCAUUUGCUCUCAAAUCUUAGAUACUACUUUCUCAACAUGGUAGAUUCAACUGAAAAGGAUUGGAUUCCGACGAUACAAGCCCUAACCCUGCUGCCGCCGUCGCAAGUAAAUGUCCAACAACCGAACAGAAGAAUACGUGCAUGGAUUGCAAUACUUCCAAGACUCCUAUCUGGAGAGGUGGCCCGUUGUGCCCAAAAAAAUUUUUGAAUCAAUUCUUUUUUAUUAAUAUUUUGUUUUUUUUCUCUGAAAAAAAUAAUUGUAUUCGAAAAUUUUAUUAAGGAGAAUUCAUCCAACUUCUCUCUUUGGAGGUAAAGGUGUAAAUUUGGUGAGAUGGUAGAUUUUGUAGCUUUGCUAGUGGUGACUAUAGAAGAGAAAUAAGAAAGGAAGAAGAAAGGAGAAGGAUAUUUACGGAAUUAUAAACAAAAAUUAAAUCAUUGGUUAUUUUUUUCGAAUAAAACUAAUCAUGUAUGGGUAUAACUUUAAUUUUAAUUUUUCAUAGUCAGUAUUGUCGGUGUCUUAAUUAUUCAUGGUUAGAAAAAUUGAUUUAAAAAAUUUUGGGGCACAGUAGGGCCACCUCUUCAGAGAGAAGUGUUGUUGGAGGUACCACAGUCUGUGCACGUCUUCUUAUGCUCGGUUGUUGGACUUUUACCUACGGCUGCGACGGAGCUGGGGCUUGCGUCAUCGGAGUCCGAUCCCUAUAUCAGAGCACACAAGUUAAGGUGAUCAGAUAUGAGUGGUUGAGAAUCAAAGAGAGAGGAUCAUAAAUCUUGAAACUAGAGUAAAUAAGCAUUUUUCUAGUUGAGUCCACCAUGUUGAGAAAGUAGUAUCCAAAAUAUGAGAGAGAGAGAGAGAGAGAGAUAAGAAAUGAAGGGGUGAGUGCAGAGCAAAGAGACAUGCAGUGAGUGAAGAGUGAUUGAGUGAAGAGAGUGUGUGGUGGCUAUGGAAGGGAGACUAAGAAGAAAGAAGAAAAGAGAGGGGUAUUUACGAAAUUCUAAACAAAAAUUAAAUUAGAGUAAAGUAUCGUUUUUGUUCCCAACGUUUGGAGUAAAUCAUAUUUGUAUCCCUAACGUUUAAAUCGUCCUAUUUGUCUCCCUAACGUUUAUAAAAGUGAUUCAAUGUUAUCCUACCAUCAAUUAUACUAAUAAAUAGGAUUACAUUUU